rnacentral:lncRNA from 1 species
CUGAGGAUUAGGCCUUGAGGGAGGGAAUAAUUUUAGGGAGUGGAUAGAAGCAGAGAGAUCAUCCCAGGGCCUUGUCACAUUGGUAGUUGAAGACUUGAAUGGCAGGAACCCAACAGAAGUGGUGGAAAAUAACUUUGUGUGGUUAGGAUUGUGCCAGGAUCUCAAGGGCAUCAGAAUUAGAAUUAAAACAGGAGGAAAUGGAAGGCUUUUGAGUAGGUUCUUCAUUAAUUUAGACAACUUAAGGGUAUCCUGAGGAGAUGAGAUCAGGACCUUCAGAUUACGAGACUCACGCCCUGCUGGCUGCGCUAAGAGGGCUCCUGAGGAGAUGAGAUCAAACAUAGGAAGAAAAAUGGAGUCUCCAAGAUGUCCACAUUUGAAUCUCUGGAACCUGUGAAUAUGUUACUUUAUAUGGCAAAAGGAACUUUGCAGGUGUGAGAAAAGUUGAGGACCUUGAGAUGGGGAGAUCAUCCUGGAUUAUUUGAAUAAGC